AAUUAUAUUUUUGUCAUUCAGUCUUUGGCAGAGAGACACUCAGUUUAUUUAUUAUACAAUUAACUUAUUUAUUGCAACCGGCGGAUUUCAAAUUCUAAUUUGGGAUGAAAUAAAGAAAACGUGUUUUUUUUUUUUCUUUUUUCUGUGUUUUGACUCAAAGUUUCCGUUCUGUUUCCUCGGCCAGAACUGCUUCGAGCUUUUCAUCCCCAACAACAAAUACCAGGUGAUCAAAGCCUGCAAGACGGAGGCGGACGGCCGCGUCGUCGAGGGCAACCACACGUUUUACAGGAUCUCUGCUCCGACUGCAGAGGAGAAGGACGAAUGGAUCAAAAGCAUCAAGGCCGCCAUCAGCAAAGACCCGUUCUACGAGAUGCUGGCGGCUCGGAAGAAGAAAGUUUCGUCCCUGAAGGGGCUGUAGGCGUCAUUGGAAGAGGAUCCAUCACCAUGACAACGACUCUGUUACCUCCAGCGUCCCCCAAUUCCUCCCGCGUUUGGCCCAAACUUCAGGCAGGUUGAGUCAGUCAGAAACCUCACCUGUGCUUGGACUGUUCCCUUUACGACGGCCUAAUUGAGUCAUAUUGACCCGAUGAGUUUUUUCCCACGCAGUGUUUGGUUUCAGCGCGUUAAGACCUCAGACUGUUUCUCCAGGAGAGAAAUGCAGUAAAACCUUUAAAAACAAAAAACACUGCAACUGGAAUCAAACAAGGAGGGAAGAAACGAGCAUUUCUUAUCGAAUGUUGUUGCAUAAAUCCCAGAAGUGCUGAACGUCAGUGACCCGUUUGUAAAUGUGUAAACCGAGUCAUCAUGAACGCAGCCUGGACCUCCAUUCUGACCCGAUUUCUAACCGCUUGUUUAAAUGGAGGUAAUGUUCAACAGCUUAAUAUUUAUUUAUCCAUAUUUCCUGUAAUUUAUUGUUUCUUUUCCUCGUAUUAAAAAUUUGCA